rnacentral:rRNA from 1 species
AACGAACGCUGGCGGCAUGCCUAACACAUGCAAGUCGAACGAGACCUUCGGGUCUAGUGGCGCACGGGUGCGUAACGCGUGGGAACCUGCCUUUAGGUUCGGAAUAACUCAGAGAAAUUUGAGCUAAUACCGGAUAAUGCCUUCGGACCAAAGAUUUAUCGCCUUUAGAUGGGCCCGCGUAAGAUUAGCUAGUUGGUGGGGUAAAGGCCUACCAAGGCGACGAUCUUUAGCUGGUCUGAGAGGAUGAUCAGCCACACUGGGACUGAGACACGGCCCAGACUCCUACGGGAGGCAGCAGUGGGGAAUAUUGGACAAUGGGCGAAAGCCUGAUCCAGCAAUGCCGCGUGAGUGAUGAAGGCCUUAGGGUUGUAAACUUCUUUUAUCUGGGACGAAAAAAGGCGAUUCUUCGUCACUUGACGGUACCAGAUGAAUAAGCACCGGCUAACUCCGUGCCAGCAGCCGCGGU